GUUGGAGUGGAUGAUGCUACUGCAAAGGAUUGUUUGGAAAAGAUCAAAUCUGUAAAAAGUCCAGAAGAAGCUGCUAGAAUAGGAAGGUCAAUACAAAGGCAGCGUCCUGAUCUGUUUCUCCCUCUAAAUUCUGGAGUGUGAUCCCUACUCGAAUUGGGUCGUAUCAUUUGGUGCUUUCAUUCUUGAUCUCAUUCCUGCUAUCAAUAUGGAGCUUUCGCUGUUCGACGGAAACGAAGAUGCAUACUGGUGGAUCCUGUGUACUGAACAAUAUUUUAGGGCUACCGGAAAAUCCGAGGUUGCAAAGAUGAUGGUGGCUGAUUUGACUAUGCGAGGGCGUCUCGAAUGGUGGUUGUGGUGGUCGCCCCGUCACCCGCAAUCAAAUUGGGACACAUUCACCACGGCACUGUUUUGGCGCUUCAAGCCGGAAUGGCGACACCUGCUACCUAUAUUGGACGACGAAAUUGAGCCAACUUCUAAACCAUUGAAAUCCACAGAAGCAACUUUCUUCCUUGAAGAUUCAGUUGCCGAUGCUAGCCUUACGGUUGUUGGUGACCCGAGAAACACGACAUUGGCGCACAUCCGUACGCCGGAGAAUAUGCAAUUGGCUUCUUGCUCGCCAUCUCCACAUAGUAUCGCUGUCUCCGAUUAUGUCCCGGUCAGAACUGCAAUAACCGAAACUCAUAUCAAGGAUUGGGGUUACAAGGAUGAUGCCGAUUUCACAAUUCCUCCAAAACCGCCUGAUGCUACCCAACCGGAGAGUACAUGUGUGUUGUUAUCGAGAACGUCCAAAAUCACCACAAUUCGUGACACUCGAGCAUACGACCUUGGUCCAACCAAACCACCAUCGCCAAUAUCUGUUAUACUUCCGCCGCCGUCCCUGCAACCGAAACCGCCAGAUCUUCUCAUAGCUCCACCUCCAGCUGUACCUCCGGUGUCGUCUCCGCCGCCGAAACCACCAGAUCGAAGUGUUGCUACAGGUAUCAAUCCUUUAUGCGCUCAUGUUACUUUACACAGUUACCCGACACCCACUGUAUUGUUAUUUGGUACCGCAGAAAACUCAACGCACUUGAUCUCUAUUCCAUUUCCCUUCCCCGUUGUUGACUCUCCAACGUUGGGGCUUAAAUCACCACACGUCGUUUUUCUAUUCAACCCUGGGGGAUCUCAAUUUCUGAAAACAUCACAUUUCAAAUUCUACAAGGAUGUUGUCACGAAUGUGGUUCUAUUGCAAUGGUGGUACAACCUCCCAGUCACGAUCAUUUCGGCCGAGAUUCCCCCACCGGAACCACCCGACAGUGCUGCUAUUCUACUGCCACUGGCCACCACAUUAAACACCUAUCUUACAUUGAUUUCUGGUAGUUGUAUUGAUAUGGUAUCUAGAUUUUGUCAUGGUGAAUUUUUUGGUUUUGAAACUAGGGAAUUUGUGAAAAUUGAGUUCUCUCCCAACACCUGCUACAUGUUUGCUAUAAUGCCAAUCAGACCCAACCUCUUUCAAAUCUUGCAAAUAUUUGUUACUAUUUUUGGGAGUUCAUCAUUAGAAUCAUGUCUACUCUCCUUGGACAAUGUUGUAUCAGCUGAUGUCAAUGUUGAUGAUUUGAACAAUAAGCAUUUUCCAACUACCUUAAUUGGUGUAAGAAUCAUGGCUCUACCAACAAGCAUGAAAGUUCCUGACCCAACUUUUGAUAUUGAUCUUAUUAGCUUUCUUGUUGUCAUCACUGAAAUAUCUUUGAAUAUUAUCAUGAGUCUUGAUAGCUUGAAUCAUCUGUUGGAACCAUCGGUCUGCGUUGUUGUUCAAACGCUGUCAUCGUUUGUGUUGUCUCGGUCGAAAUUGACUGUUCUACAUUGCCGUGAAGAGGACGAGGAGCAGGUAAUUCUUAUUCAGACUGAUAUUGCAAGUGUUCUUUUGUUUCCUUAUGGUGAUGUUUGAAGUAAGUGUCCCCUCUGGCUUGAGCUCAUUUUUCUUGCCACUGUUGAAACGUUUGUGUUUUCAUAUGAUUUCUCUGUUUUUGACACUGGUAGUUCUUGUGGUGUUUACCCAUAUCUACAUGUGUGUUGUUACAAUCCUGGAGACAUAUGCUUCCCACAUCAUGCUUCCAAUUUUUGGAAUGAUAUUAUUGUUUAUGGUAGUUUUGAAUUCGGUAUUUGGACCAAAAGUGAUAGCUUUAAAGAUGAUAGCAUGCCGGAGAAAAUACCAAACUGGAUGGCAGGAACUUAUGACUAUGGCCAAACAUUCAUUGGUUCCGUGUAUAACUUUGAAUUGGCUAAAUAUUCUGUCAAGUGUGUAAUUGUUGCAAAUUAUAAGGUUCCAAUUAGCAUGAACUCAACCAGUGACAUCCAGGAAAAUGGGAUUUGUGCACCCACUCAAAGUGUUGUGGCAGCAUUUAAUUCUUAUGCAAUGGUAACUCUUGCUACUUUUUUUCAUGUAGUAACUACUUUUUUUAAAUUUGGUGUUGCUGCAUCAACUAUCAGUGAGUUAGGAUACAAUGAAGUUGGAAUUAGAUUCAAUGUUGCUAUUGGUUAUGAUAUAACACCUCAUGGAAUUGCUUCACUUUUUGAAAUUCAUUAUGGUUUGAUCAAGCAUUAUGGCUUAAUUGGAAGAGUGUCCAGUAUAUUGUUGUAUAAUGAUCCAAGAUUUAUUGUAGUGGGGAGAACUAAGACUUUAUGUGGUGUGUAGAUUAACCCAAGAGAUAACAAAGUUGUGAUCCAUGAUGGCCACGUGACACAUCCAUUUUUGGGGGUCAUACAAUUUCCACUAAUAUUUGUUGGAUCAAAGGUUCCUCCUAUGAGUGUUGAAUAUUCUUCUACAUAUCCUUUUAGGGGCUUUCCAUCAAUAUGGAAACUGGAUGUGGUAUCCUCAAGUUCAUUACUAAUGGCCAGUUGGGUUCCAAAUUCAGUCCGAAUGUUUGAGAAGGUUAUGAGCAAUUAUAUAGUACCUUCAACAAUGACUUGUGCUGAUAUUGUGGUUAUUUAUGUUGCCUUCUUUAUUAUUGAUGUACAUCUCAAUUCACAAGAUAAGCAAAGGAUUGUCUUCUUGAUUACACACAGAUUCUCAACACUUGUAAAUGUUCUUAUGCUUGCUGAGGUGGAAAAUGGAGAAAUGGUUGACAUAUCAAAACAUGAGAGUACACUAAAACUUGUUGCUGCGCAGGAGUGGUUGUUUUUCGUGAUGCGUACUCCAAUUUUUCUUCAAAGUGGGCUUUGCUUGACUUGUCAUGAUUGCAACAAGAAACGUUUCUCUCAUUUUGCAUCUCAAAUUGAUAAAAUCACUUCUAUUGUUCAUAAGACACAUCCUAAGUAUACUGGUUAUGACGAGAUGAAAUGGUUGAUAGCUUGGUUUUGGAAUAUUGUGGAGGUAGUAUCUGUGGAACAAAAUCAACAUUUGUUUGUUCACUGGCAGAAACAGAUUGCAUUGGGAGUCAUUUUGGUACAUGGCAUUAAGCUUGUGGAGGCUUGUCUGGUUUACAACCUUGAGGACAAGGUUGAUUUCGAAGAGCUGAGAUAAGGCCUGAUUGGGACAACAUGAAGAUCGAUGUCAUGUACUCGGCACUGAAAUGCAAGUUCUCAACAUACCCGCAUUUGAGUUCUAUGCUGCUUUCAACUGCCGGUUCGGUUCUAGUUGAGGCUUCUCCCCAU